UACGAAGGGUGCAAGCGUUACUCGGAAUUACUGGGUGUAAAGCGUGCGUAGGUGGUGAGUUAAGUCUGAUGUGAAAUCCCCGGGCUCAACCUGGGAAUGGCAUUGGAUACUGGCUCGCUAGAGUGCGGUAGAGGGUGGUGGAAUUCCCGGUGUAGCAGUGAAAUGCGUAGAGAUCGGGAGGAACAUCUGUGGCGAAGGCGGCCACCUGGACCAGCACUGACACUGAGGCACGAAAGCGUGGGGAGCAAACAGG
rnacentral:rRNA from 1 species